UAUAAAAUAAAAUCAAAAUAUAAAAAAAUUUAAAUAUACAUUUAUUAAACGGUAAAUAAAUUGAGCGUCUUAAAAAUCGUUCAAUUCAUUAAAAAUAUAAAUGUCGUUCACGUUCACGUUCUAUUUGAAAAAAAAACGAGUGACGUUCGCGUAUCGUUCACUAACUAUGAACGCGAACGUGUGUGAACGUGCAUUCAUGAACGACGUUGUUUCCAAACACUGAAUUUAUGGGCGAACGAAACCCCAGGUUUAUUGACUGGGUAACAUUUGUCUGGCUAUUUUACACAUUGAAAAAACUUAUAAAAUUAAUUUGAAUACAAUUAUUAAUCAGUUCAAUGCAGACUAAACACAAAGAGGAAGUAUUUCAAUUGACAUUAACAUUUAAUUUUAGUUUUAAUAAUUGACUGGUUAUAUUUUUAAUUUUGUAAUACUUUUAUUAAUAUAAUCGUUAAACAUCAUGUUUUAAAGUUUCUAGGUGUACUGAAAUGAAAUAAACUUUACCGCUCUCUCCCCAUACAAAUUGUCCAAGUCACGCGUAUGCCCAUGAAAAUACAGAGUAUAAAGAGUCGACUAUUUGUUAAAUUUGUUGUACGAGUAUACAUAUAUAUGUAUAUAAAAAUAGGUAUAAUAAUAGUAUCAAACAUUUAAAAUCGAGUGAAACAUUAAAAAUGGAAGAGUAUUUAUAUAUUUAUGCAUUGUAAAUACAUGAUAUCAUAAUAUUAUUCAGUAUUUCAGUCGUCCAGAAGAUAAAAUGUCUGUCUACUUAAAUAAGAACGUUUCGU